rnacentral:rRNA from 1 species
UACGGAGGAUGCAAGCGUUAUCCGGAAUGAUUGGGCGUAAAGCGUCCGCAGGUGGCUAUGUAAGUCUGCUGUUAAAGAGUCUGGCUCAACCAGAUAAAGGCAGUGGAAACUACAUGGCUAGAGUGCGUUCGGGGCAGAGGGAAUUCCUGGUGUAGUGGUGAAAUGCGUAGAGAUUAGGAAGAACACCGGUGGCGAAAGCGCUCUGCUAGGCCGCAACUGACACUGAGGGACGAAAGCUAGGGGAGCAAACAGG